rnacentral:rRNA from 1 species
UACGUAGGGGGCUAGCGUUGUCCGGAAUCAUUGGGCGUAAAGCGCGCGUAGGCGGCCCGGUAAGUCCGCUCUGAAAGUCCAGGGCUCAACCCUGGAAUGCGGGUGGAUACUGCCGGGCUAGAGUCCGGAAGAGGCGAGUGGAAUUCCUGGUGUAGCGGUGGAAUGCGCAGAUAUCAGGAGGAACACCGGUGGCGAAGGCGGAUCUCUGGGCCUUACCUGACGCUCAGGUGCGAAAGCUAGGGGAGCGAACAGG